GUUCAUGGGUAACUGCGCGAAGGCCCGCCCCACAUAUCGUCACCUGGAAAACAAUGAACGAUGAAUUUCGCAGCUCGUACCUUACCAUCUGGAAAUUCGAGGGAUGAAUUGCAUCCACGGGUUCAUUAGAGCGAGAGAUGGCCAUUCAUCUUGAACUAACAAAGUGAAAUCCGGCUGAAUGUAAUGAAGCGUGAUCAGCUCUGUCUGAUUAUUGAGUUUCUUAACGAACACCAAGUUACAGAAGGAAAGCUUAAACGAAAUUUACUGAAACGUCAACUGUCUGGAUUCUCUGAAUACAAGCUAUCUUACAAGCGGAACUACUUGGCCCCUGGAUGACAUUAAAUACUCUAGGGUUCAUUCACAGUCAUUAAACCUGGAAGUGCUCUACUGCUACAGAACAUGUUAAUGAUUGAGGGAAGUCAGUAAAAUUACGAGUCAGAAGCUCCAUCAUACCUUCAUUGAUAUGUCUUGUCGGUUGCUCUGGCAGUAGUUCCUCCAUAGGGUCGCCAAGGGCUUGUCCACACAACCAUCGCCUGUGGAUGAUAAUGAACGUUUAAUAUACCAAUCAUAUUAAUGAUGAUGAUGAGUGAGCUACUGGAAACAUCGCACAUGGUAAGAAUGGGAUGACUGUGAUAGGACAAAAAAAAAAAAAGGAAAAUAACAGUUUCAGUUAGCAACAUGAUACCGUGCUAUACUUUGCACAGUUCGAAAUCUUGCCUUGUAUAUGAGCGAUUUAGGUGAAGGUAAGAAGAGAGAAUAUUGGACUGAAAACUACAAGCUACCUUACAGGUUGAUUUUUAAAAGAGAGAUGGUCAAGAUCACCUCCAAAACUUUUUGGUUAGCAACAACAAGACCACAGGACCAGAAAAGUUAGAUCCGACUUCAUGGCAAGUUAUGAGUCAUCGGUACUGUGGCAGGUCGAAGGCAUUCCUCAUAUGGGAUGAGUCUUGGGUUCCGCGCGCCAGGAUCAGAUCAGGACUACAGCUCUAAAGAGGCUCCGGUGAGCACCGGCAGAACGGGUUUCUUGAAUUUACAGCCAAUUAUGGGGGUUGUUAAAAGGACCCAGGGAGAUGAGAUGUAGCGGAAAAACAAAUGCUUCGUGUGUGGACAAAAUCAAACAGAUGAACCACGAAAGAUGCAUGAGACCAAGUGCUAAAUGAGAUGAACCACGUAAGAUGCAUGAGACCAAGUGCUAAAUGUAAACUAAACUACACGGUGAACGACAAGGUCAAGAAAUAAUGUUGGUGUGACAUUAGGAAAUUGGAAUGAGUAUGUUGUUGAAUAUCUAGCGUCAAGUAGCCUAAUAGAACAGAGCUACAAAGCUGCCAUGUUAUAAACGAAUAUGAUCCAAGAAAAUGAUUCACAAAAGAGGAAAAUGAAGCUCUCAGAAAACAAAAAAGACGUGAUGACGAAUGACCAGCAGCAAGACUGAAAGGACUUGGGCAGAAAACAUGAAGAACUUGGAUACCGGGAAAGCAAACUGAAGUACGACUGAUAUCGGCAAGAAAAUUGAAAGACGAUGGCUUAUUAGAAAUGAGAUUAAGCCACAGACUUCGACUACGAACACUUCUUGCAAGAGGAGGGGUGAACAUCUUUCAUAAAAAUGUUGGAUCUGUGGCCUGAUGGCAAAUUAAUAGAGAGAGAGGAAUCCCAGGAGAAAGACUGAUGUCUGUCUCGGAUCUUAACCUCACUGCCUCUAAUCGAUAAGUGCAUAUGAUCUGUGGAUAACCCAACUAGGUCCGACUCGGAUAUCUUAACCGGAAUGGACGUCUUGUUUUACCUUCUUAAUCGAUCUGUGGACGCAAUUCUUGAGAUUUACGAAGCAUGUCUUUAGAUUAGAACACAAUCUGUGGAGAACUGUUUCCACCGGUACUGCCAGUGAAAAGAAAGAGAACCAUCAGCUCCCGCUUAUACUGGCCCUAGUGUUGUUCCUGGUAGUGUUCUCCUGCUAUAUAACCCUUUGGACUGCAUCGUAGAAAAAAUGAACACCGAUCUACAAGAAGAAAGUUCCGAGAUUUGGACGGGCUCCUGCUAUGACCCUUUUGACUGCCGUCGUAAAAAAAAAAAAAAAAAGACCACUUGAUCCACAUAAUGCUGGGAAGCUAGCCAAUCAAAUGACACAGGAUAAGACCAUGUGGUUAGUAUUCCCAGGCAGUUUAAGUAUAUGUAGGGGAGUUAAUGGCAUCAGGCAAUAUUGCUAGGCCUUUCAGGAAAUGUGCCAGCACACAAGUUGCAAAGGCUAAACUGGCUAUCGCUGAGAAAGAAGCCAUUAUGUUAAAACUGACUGUACAUGGAGGGCAGGAGUAAACAACUUACUACAACAAUACAAGAAGUGGCAGACCAACAAGUCAAAUAUGAGGGAAGAUUGUGGGGGUAGAUGAGGAACACUAAACACUACAAUGUCUGCUGCUGUUCCUCAUUAAAUUCGAGGUUCAAACUAGGCAUAGUUGAGAGACGAGGAGCACCACAACCACAAAGUUCUGCUGCUGCUGUUGGACAUAGUGGGGAAGAUGAGGAGCACCACAAAGUCCGCUGUUGUUGUUCAUGAUCAUUCACUUGUAAUGAGGUGUAUGGAGACCCAUUAGUGGAGAACAUCAUGUGCCUACUUGUGACCGUUUUACAUGAAGUCAACAGAGAAGAUGAUUGUCAUAAAGACAACAGGGAAGAUGAUUGUAUGUCUUAUAGUAACUUGAUAUUCCAGAACAUAUUACAUCUUGUGGACAUGUGAAAGAAAGACACUGUUCAGUCACUUAAAGGAAACUGCCAAUCUGGAUGGAAUGAUGGAGGAGAAGAAUGCGUUCAAUCAGUUAAGGUAAUGCUGGAUGAGAAGACGGUUGUUCAGUCAGUUAAGGAAACUGCCUUGAACCUUUGAUGGAAUGUUGGAGAAAAAUAUGUUCAGUCAGUUAAGUUAAGGUAAGGAAACUGCCAAUCCAGUUAAGUUAAGGUAAGGAAACUGCCCAACGUCUUUAACCUUGAUGGAAUGCAAUAAUAAUUAGCGACAACUGUGAGGAGAAAAUUCUGGCAUCUGAAAUCACGUUGCACUGCCAACAUAAUCAGUGGAAACAUCAUUCAGGUUAUUCUUUUUAUUCGGUAAUUGGAAGAGACUUAAUGAGGCACAAAAGUUGUUAAGCCAAAUCUGUGGGGCACGAAAGCCACCUUAUGCACAACAGCAGAAACUACGAUGGGUAUUUGUAGCAAUUGUCUUGACAACCAACAAAUACCUUCUGAAGUGAAUUUUGUUUACAAAACUAGGUAGGCUGCCAAUCAGAUAUUUUGACACCGGGCUUCGUAAAGCUGGAAAAGCGAUAGCGAUAAGUUGUAUACUUAUAGGACCCGAUUACUUUUGGACAAAUGUACAAUUUUCAUCAAAAACCAAAGUUGACGACAAACCAGGAAUGUCUUACAAGGAUAAGAAUUAACACAAGACUCUCUAAAGGAGGAGAUCCUUUACCCUAACACACAACGGCACCGUUGCCAAACAGCAGAAAUGUUCAACGUUUCGGUGAGCUGCAAGCUUAAGAGGAAAUCCCAUGAAGUAGGACCAUAUCUUACAUUCUUAUCAUUCUCGAAAACAAAGACCAAGAGACCACCAUUGCGUCACAGAGAAUUAGGUACAGUUCACAAGACGUUAAUCCUUAAUCAGAACAGUCGUGGUUUAUGUCAUUGUCGACGUUUCUUUGUAUAUGUAUUUCUAGUCGACUCUGAAAAUUCGUCCAUUUAAUUACAGGAUUCGUGUGAAAACAUGAAUCGUUUUACCAUCAGACAUUACCAAUGUUACAUUGUCAAAUUUUGUACAUCUCUUGUUUAAUGUCAGCAAUUUUCUGCAAUUUAAUUGUUUUUAUACAUUGCAAUUUCUGGUUACUGCUGCAAUUCUGACUACUGUAAUUUUAUCGUAGCAAUUUCUGGUUACUGUUCUGCGCAAUUCUGAGUACUGUAUUUUUAUCGUAGGUUUUCCCCAGUUCGGCUAGUAUAAUAAAUAAAGAAGCA